rnacentral:lncRNA from 1 species
AAUAAUAAUAAUAAUCUAGAAACUCAUUUUGAAAGAAAGAAAAAGAAAGACAAGAAAAUUAAGAAGAUCCACCUAAGAACAUAAGAAUGGAAUUUACUCGUGUUCGGUGUUGGUGAAGUCGUUUCCUAAUUAAGUUUAAACAGGUAAGUUUUAAAUACAUUUACCUUUCACAUUUUAUGUUUUUUUUUCUUUACUUGUUUCAGUCAUUGGACUGUGGCCAUGCUGGAGGCAUCGUCUCCAAGGAUUUUACUCGAACAAAUUGACCCUUGGGCUUGUUUUUCAGUUUGGUGCUUUUUAGACCGGUUUAUUUUGCUGAACUACUUUGUUACGGGGAAGUAAACAACCCAAAAAGCGCUUGAAGGGUGGGAGGGGGAUAAACACACGCGCAGGCACACACGCACGCACGCACGUAUCUUUGUUUCAUACAUAAUGUCUACACGUUAAUUAUGGUACAUUGAAGACAAAUUUUAAUUAAAUACUGCCUCAGUUGCGUAUGGCUGUGUGGUAAGAAGCUUGCUUCCCAACCACAUGGCUCCGGUUCAAUCCCACCGCGUGGCAUCGUGGGCAAGCGUCUUCUAACAUAGCCUCGGCCCGACCAAAGCCUUGUGAGAGGAUCUGAUAGACGGAAACUGAAACAAGCCCGUCGUAUAUAUAUAUAUAUAUAUAUAUAUAUAUAUAUAUAUAUAUAUAUAUAUAUAUGUGUGUGUGUGUGUGUGUGUGUGUGUGUGUGUGUGUGUGUGUGUGUGUUUGUGUGUGUGUGUACUUGUGUGCAUGGGUUUAUCCCGCCGCCCAACGCGUGACAACCAAUGUUGGUGUGUUUACGUCCCAUUAACUUAACUGUUCGGCAAAUACACCGAUAGAAUAAGUACUAGGCUUGCAAAAAAAUAAGUUCUGGGAUCGAUUUGUUUGACUAAAGGCGGUACUCCAGCAUGACCACAGUCAAAAUGACUGAAGAAGUAAAAGAAUAUAUAUAUACACGACAGGGUUCCACACAGUUUCCGUCUACCAAAUUCACUCACAACGCAUUAGUUCGCCUGUGACUACAGUAGAAGUCACCCAAGAUGCCACGCAGUGAGAUUGAACCCGAAACCACGCAGCUGCCAAGCGUCUUAAACCACUUUGCAUGUUUGAUAAUUGUUGUCAAUGUUUGCUAUACGUUUGUUUUAGAGUUAACAUUGAUGGAGUCACGGUAGGCGGCGAGAUGGCCGAGUGAUUAGCAAACUGCUUAGGGGCAUUUCGUCCAUCUUCACGUUCUGAGUUCAAACUCCGCUGGAGUCGAUUUGCCUUUCGGGGUCAAUAAAAUAUGUACCAGUCGAGUUCUGGGGUCGAUAUAAUCGACUUGUCCCUUCCCUUGAAGUUUCGGGCCUUGUGCUCAUAGUAGAAAGGAUAGAUUGAGUUAUCGACUAAAGAUCAAUGACAAUCCGAUCGUGAUCAUCCUGCCUUUAUCAAGAUAUUUAGAGCUACACGAGCGUUCUUUUAUCUUUUACUUGUUUCAGUCAUUGGGCUGCGGCCAUGCUGGGGUACCGUCACUUCUUUGAAAGGCACGAGCUGGCAGAAUCUUCUGCGGAUCAGAAGAACUGCUAUUCGGUAUCCUUUUGGUUCUCUGCGUUCGAGUUUCAAAUCCUGCCUAGGUCAGCUUUACCCUUUAUCCCUCCGGCGUCGGUCGAGUAAAGUACCAAUCUAAUGCUGAAGAGGACUUUUUUUGGGUUUUUUUGUAGUGUCUUUUAUCUUUUAUUUUUGACUUGUUUCAGUUAUUGGACUGCGGCCAUGCUGGGGCACCGCCUUGAAGGGUUUUUUUUUUCUUUAAAGCCUGGUACUUAUUCUAUCGGACUUUUCUUCCGAAUCGCUAAGUUACGGAGACGUAAACACACUAACGCCGGUUGUCAAGCGGUGAAGGGGGACAAACACAGACACACUCACAGAUAUAUAUAUAUAUAUAUGAUGGGGUUCUUUCAGCUUCCGUCUGCCAAAUCCACUCACAAGGCUUUGGUCGGCCCGAGGCUAUAGUAGAAGACACUUGCCCAAGGUGCUACGCGGUGGGACUGAACCCGGAACCAUGUUGUUGAGAAGCAAACUUCUUACUACACAAUCACACACAUACAUACAGACACAUGUCGAGCGAUGGUGGGGGGAGGGGGCAAACACACACACACACACACACACGCACACACACAUCGGUUGUCAAGCGAUGAUAGGGGAAAAACACAGAUACACAAACACACACACAUAUAUACGACGGUCUUUCAGUUUCCGUCCACCAAAUCCACUCAAGGCUUUGGUCGGUCCGAGGCUACAGUAGAAGACACGUGCCCAAGGUGCCACGCUGUGGUACUGAACCCAGAACCAUGUGUUUGGUAACCACACAGCCACUCCUGCGCCUAUACAUUUUUCAAAAAUAAACACUAAAAAUAUUUUAGGAAGAAAACCAUAUUUCUAGUCUAUCAGGUCAUCCCAUAAGUUCUGUCCAAUUUUACAUUUUUUAAAAUUUAAUGAAAUUUAAUAGUAUUUUAGAAUGUCUAUUGGAAUUAAAAAUUAUUUUUAUGCAUUUGUGUACAUUUCAACUAAUUAAAUAUUAUUUUACUGAAUAAUAGAAUUAAAAUUUCUUUGGUUAAAACCCUUACUAACAUGGAAGUAUCCAAAGCGCAUACAAAAAAUGAAAUUCUGCAACUGAAGCGACUCGAAACAUACACUCAGUUUAUAGGACAGAAUACUUGAAUGAAAUAACUUGCAGAAGAUGGCUUUCAAAAUUCAGAAGUGGAGAUUUCAGACUUGAAGAUGAAGAUCGAACAGGACGUCCAGUUGAAUUUGAUGAUAAGCUCCUCGAGGUAUUACUUGAAGAAAAUCCUGCGUUAUCAGUUGAUGAAUUGACAAUAAAACUUAGUUCAUACCAUCGUCAUCUUCAACAACUUGGAAAGGUUCCUAAGCUUGGAAAAUGGGUACCUCAUGAAUUGUCCGAAAGCAACCGCAAAUCCUGAGUUGACAUCUGCUCUUCUCUCCGUUCUCGCGAACCCAUUUUCACCCUUUUUGGAUAGACUUGUGACUGGUGACGAAAAAUGGAUCUUCUGUCGAAAUGUUAAACGUCGUAAACAGUGGCUUGGUAAAAGGGAAAAAGCUCAACCACAACCGAGAAUGGAGCUUCAUAGGAAAAAGGUUCUUUUCUCUAUCUUGUUGGAUUGCGAAGGAGUAAUUCACUUUCAACUGUUACCACUUAAUGCAACAAUCAAUGCUCAAGUCUAGUGUCAGCAAUUAGAGUAUUUGAACCAGGCUUUGAAGAAAAGAAACCCUGCUGAAGUGAAUCGGAAAGGAGUGGUGGUUCAUCAGGACAAUGCGUGACCCCACACUGCAAAGAUCACAUCACAGAAGAUCGAAGAGCUUGGUUGGGAAAAAAUUCCUCAUCCACCUUAUUCUCCAGACCUUGCUCCUUCAGACUACCAUUUGUUUCGUAGUUUACAGAAUCAUUACGGGGACAUAACUUUCGCAAGCCAGGAGGAGGUCAAAACUGGCAUUUCAGAGCUCUUCGCUUUGAAACCAAAAGAGUUUUACAUUGAUGGGAUUGAAAAGCUUGUAAAUAGAUGGAAGGAAGUCAUAGAUAAUCAGGGAAAGUACAUUGAUGAUUAAAUUUCAAUGUGCAAUCGACCCUAAUGUUUACUUUUUUAAGUCAAGUAUUUAUUGUACCGGACUCUUUUGCCAAACAGCUAAUGUUACGGGGACGUAAACAAGCCAUCAUCGGUUGUCAGUCGAAACAAAUACUGACAGAGAUAUACAGACACAGACAAAUAUACGGGGCUUCUACAUAGUUUCCAACAACUAAAUUCACAUACAAAUCAUUAGUCGCCCUGGAUGGGACUAUAGUAGCAGACACUUGCCCCAUUUCUGCGCAGUGGCACUGAACCCGAAACCACACGAUUGCAUAACCAGCUCCUUAACCACAAAGCCAUGUCUGCGCAUGUCUGGAAUUAAUUAAAUUGUUGUUAAUAAGAAUGAACUUCUGAUGAAUAACUCCUAAAAUACAGUCUUCGUCUGUCAAUUCUCAAGUUUACAAAUAUGUCAAAGUGACAUGUCAAUCAAUGAAUUUUUCUCAAAAACAUGAUCAAUAAUUACUUUAUCGAUCUUUGCAGAAUGCUAUGAGAUAAAACUAAAUACUGCAAUGCUGUUUAAUCCUGGAUUCUGUUAUUUCUACGACACCAUCCCUUCUUUGGGUUUUUAAGGAAUUGUUGUUUAAGCACAAGGUAGGUGACGUUGAGGAAAGAGGGAGGGAGAUAUAUAUAUAUAUAUAGAGAGAGAGAGCAAGUGAAAACCAUCGAAUUCACUAUUUGAAUGGUUCUUUAUUUUAUCGAUCGCAAAAGAAAAUUAAAAUUAAAAAUGACCUAACCUAGGCGUGACUCGAACUCAGAACACCAAGAGUGAGAACAAUUACCGCAAGCCAUUUUUCCGAUCCUUAAUGAUUCUGCAAGUUGUCGUGAUGACGAUGAUGAUGAUGAUGAUGGACAUCUGAUACUAGCACUCCGUCAGUUACGACGACGAGGGUUCCAGUUGAUAUGAUCCACAGAACAGCCUGCUCGUGUAAUUAACGUGCAAGUGGCUGAGCACUCCACAGACCCUUAACGUAGUUCUUAAGGAGGUUCAACGUUGCCACAGAAUAUGACAACGCUGGCCAUUUAAAAUCCAGUUGCUACUCAAUUUUGCCAGCUGUGUUGACCGGAGCAACGUGAAAUAUAGUACCUUGCUCAAGGAAACGACGGCGGCCAGGGAUCAAACGCACGAUCUUACGAUUAUGUGCCGAACGCCCUGACCACUGAGCCACGUGUCUUCACAUGCAGCUGAUACUAUAACACACAAUACCACCUAUUCUCAUGCAACUCGCAGUUUACUCAAUUGACGCCACCUUGCAAUACAGUCACUCCAUCCAGAUUCUUUUUGUAAGAAUAUUGGCCAAAAAUAUUGAAGGCGGCGAGCUGGUAGAAACGUUAGCACACCGGGCGAAAUGCUCAGCGGUAUUUCGUCUGCCGUUACGUUUUGAGUUCAAAUUCCGCCGAGGUCGACUUUGCCUUUCAUCCUUUCGGGGUCGAUAAAUUAAGUACCAGUUACACACUGGGGUCGAUGUAAUCGACUUAAUCCCUUUGUCUGUCCUUGUUUGCCCCCUCUAUGUUUAGCCCCUUGUGGGUAGUAAAGAAAUAAGAAUAUUGGUCAAAAAUCUAUAACACUGCAUUUAGUAGAGUUCCAAGCCCCAAAUUCUCAACCGUUCACUGUAGAUGCUGCUAAUAUGUUGUCAGUUACGAUGGAUACUUUUUAUGAUCGUAGUCAACAAGACUGGCUCAUGAAUGAGAAUCUUGUUGCGUAUCUCAUCCAAAUCUAGCGCUCGUCUCCUCACACAGCUACUCGCCGUUUCCCUUAUAUUAUCGACUCUUUGCAAUACUCCACUUCCUCUGGCAAUAAUUGCAGUAGGUUUGCCACUUCCCUCAAAGUCUUGGAAAAUGUAUUGCUAAAAGUUUUUAUAAUUCUGCUUGAAAACGUAUAGUAUACACCCAUCAAAAUCUAAACUAUGGUUUUGUUUGCACAUUGCCCUGCUGUCACUCUUUUCAUCCCAAUUCUGUAAACCGGCGUUCACGUGUGUAAGAGAACACAACCUAGCUUAAACCGAGCAAUGCUUUGUGUCAAAGCCAUGUUCGAGUGCUAUUUUUCUCUGCUAGCAUAUCAGUUGCGAUGCUUUUGCUUGUCGACUCAGCUUAACCCCGAUAUAACCAAUUCCAACAGACGACACUAUAUCCAUAAAAUAAAGCGGGAAAAUUAUCUUAUUUUUAAAGAUCUGAAGAUAAAGAUAACCAAUAUGUGGUGAAUCCCAAUAAUAACAGAGAAAUAAUCUCUGUAAUAUUAAUGAUACGAGGGUUAUGCCGGAAGUAACGCUAAAAUAAGUAUAAUUUUUUUUUCUUAACUGAUAUAGUUUACAUAUUAGUUGAGGAAUUCAUCUUCUAUACACUGAUACCCCAUAUAAAAACAAAAUAUCUAUCAGAUGCCAUCGUUAAACCCAACUUACAAAUCCUCUUUGAAAGAUUACAGGUGGACACAAUUGUACUUACAAACAUACACAUACACACAUACAUAAUACAUAUGUACACAGACAAUACAUUCAAACAUACAUUCAUACAUACGCACAUUACACAUAUACGUAUAUCGUUGCACACAUGCAUACAUUCAUAUAUGCAUAAUACAUACAUACAUACAUACGUAUAUGCAUAUAUAUGUGUGUAUGUAUAUAUAUAUAUAUAUAUAUAUAUAUAUAUAUGCAUACAUACAUACUUACAUACAUACAUACUUACAUACGUACAUACAUACGUACAUAAUACUAUGAUAGUAUAGGCAUUUCAAAAGGAAUAUUCCAGGGAGAGAGUCUUUCUGUACUUCCUUUCAUGUUGGCACUGAAUCCAUUAUCAUUCCUAUUGCAGAGAACAAAUGGUUACAGGCUAGGUUCUUGAACUGUUAGAAAUAUCAAUGUAACUCAUAAUUUCUUUGCAGACGUCUUGAAGAUUUAUGCUAAAAGUGAUAACAAUGCCAAAAACAAUUGUAAUUAAUAUCAACAUUUUCAGCUGAUAUAGGCAUAGAAUUUGGCCAAAAGAAAUGUUCAUAUUUGGUUACAGAUCGAGGAAAGUCAAUCCCCCAAACCCCAAACCUGUGCAUCAACGGUCUCUCUGUUUCCAUCAUUCCACACAAAGAAUGUUACAAGUACCUAGGCAUAGACGAAAAUGUAUCAAAUGAAGGCACUGUGAAUGAAGAUACAUCGACCCGAAAAUAUUACACCAGACGUAGGAGAAUAUGGCAAUCGGAACCCUCCUCUUACAACAAGGCAAUAUCCCACAAUGCAUUUGCAGUACCAGUGCUGAUCCCAACAUUUGGGAUACUUGAUUGGUCCGUAGAGAAAAUCCACUCCAUAAAUAUCAAAACCCGCAAAAUCCUGACAACAACUGGGAACUUCCACAGAAACAGUGAUGUUGCCAAGUUCUAAGAAAUGAAGAUGGUUGAGAUCAGUGCAGAGAGAUUGAGAGUUGAGAUCAGUGCAGAUGGCCUUCGAAUGACGUAUGGUAUCACUCAGGCAAAACCUGCUAAACAACAGUAGCAAAAAUAUAUAUAUAGAUUCAGUGCUGAAAAGUGAAGUGAGCAACAUUGUACGAGUUGGCAGGGAACUCCUCAAGAAACACUCUCUUCUUGAUCUCUUAUACAGCCCCAAAACAGCUGGGCUCUCUUACCUCAGAGAAGACGUGGAUGGAAAGCAUUCAGCAUACAAAACCAAAAGACCAUGUAUGGGCAUGUUGCCCGAAAGCUUGAAGAAGACACUAGAAUUGACACGAAGCGUAAUUUCUCUUGGACACAAGACCACUACAUCACACUUUGAAGGCCAUGUGUUCGCAAAGUACCUGACGAACAAGAGAGACAGUGACGCUCUUGGAAUCUCAGGGUGCAACUGCAUGUCUAGGCUAUGUCAUGUUUCUGUGGAAGACAUUAUGCAUGUGAUUAGCAGCUGUCCUAAAACGUCGAGACGGUACUACCUCCCUAUGCGGUACGAUGUUGUAGCUAAAACAGUUUACAAUGCCAUCCGCAAAAAAGACUGUCCUAAAAUAAACUUAGAAAAUUCCUCUGUUAUGGAAAUACAUUCAUAAACACCAACUCAAAGAAUACUAGUGGAAUAUUGCCAUCAAAACUUCUGUCAAAUGUAAACAUAACAGACCAGAUAUUGUUGUUUGGACAGAGGGGCAAAGGUAUGAACCAUCAUAGAGGUCAGCAGCCUUGCAGAUAUAAAUAGCUUUUUGAAAACCAAAGGGAAAGAGGAUAUCUAUGGAUAACUGCUUCGAAACCUCCAGCUUCUAUAUUCAGACUAUGAAUUCAUAUUCAUACCAAUAAUAAUUGGAGAACUAGGUCUUGUUAGUAAAUGCUUAAAGAAGAAUCUGAAUAAACUGGGAUUUUCAGAAAGAGAAAUUGACCGGCUGAUUCGUACAAGUCCAAUCUGGGAGUGGAACAGUAAAAAUAUGCAAGAUUUUCUCAAGUUCCAAAUGUGAAUUUGUCUGUGUUAACUACAUCCCAAAGAUGGAGCCUAGUAUCUUUGUAGGAAACCCGCUCCCUCCUCAGUGGAAGAUUUAUAAUAAAUAUUAAAAAAUAGAAGAGACAUACAUACAUAAAACACAAAUCUGCACAUACUUACAUAGAUACAUAUAUAUAUAUACAUACAUACAUAUAUGCAUGCAUACAAAAUACCCUAUCGUUGAUGUUGAAAUUCCAAUGAAGGAACCUUGGAUCUAGGUUAGAAACCGGUUCUUUCUCUUUUAGCAAGAAAUCUUGAAAUAAACUGAAUAAUGACAUACAUACAUACAUGUUGAAAUUCCAAGGUUAAAAAAACAUUAUUAUAUAAACAUUCAACACAAAAGAAUAAAGAAGAAAAAUGUAGCCAAUAACUCCGUAAACAUGUACUUGAACUGGCGCCGGCAUUCACCAGGGGUGGGUUGAACCAGCUCCAUACAUACAUACAUAACAUACAUAAAGAAAACAACAUUACAACCAAACUAGAAACAAGAUCGAAAUUCGAAUAAUGAUGAAGAGUACAGACAUCACCAUGGAAACGCUCAAGUAAACACCCCAACCGCAACAACAUUACUGUACGCUUGACCCGACACUUAACAAUGAACCUAAUGAAAACAGACAUAAAAAUCACAAUAGAUGAACCAGAGUUAACCUUGAGGAGUACUUUAGCAAGAUUCAGGGAUUGUGGUAAAAUCAAUGAGCGUGACUGGACAGAAACACUUGUCGUGGCAACACAUGAACGAACAACCAGACAAGGGAGUUGUGGGUAAUGACAGGACUUGAUAAGGAAUUAUGGAAGUAGAAGAACCGAAACGAGUGAAAUGUCAAUAGAGUUUCUGAUUUCAUCUGUUUAGGAAUAGACUCGGUAAAGAUCAAGAGCCAGACGUGAUCAGGUGAGAAAACGAUGUGUGUGUGCGCGCCUGUGUGGGUGAGUGUGUGUACCUGUGUGUGAGUGUGUGUGUGUGCCAGUGUGCCUGUGUAGUGCGUGUGUGUGUGUGCCUGUGUAGUGCGUGUGUGUGAGAGUGUGUGCUUGUGUAUGUGUGUGUGCCUAUGUAUGUGUGUGUGUGCCUGUGUGUGUGCCUGUGUGUAUGUGUGCAUGUGUGUGCCUGUGUGUGUGCCUGUGUGUGUGUGCCUGUGUGUAUGUGUGCCUGUGUGUGUGCUUGUGUGUGUGUGCCUAUGUCUGUGUGCCUGUGUGUAAGUGUGCGUGUGCGAGUGCCUGUGUGUGUGUGUGUCUCUGUGUCUGUGUGUAUGUGUAUGUGUGCGCGUGCCUCUGUGUGUGUGUGUGUGUACCUCUGUGGUGAGUAUGUGUGUGCCUGUGUGUGUUGUGACUAAACGAAAGAAAGUAGCACUCAAUACAUCCUUUUUGCAGUCACAUGUUUAUAAUAACAAGUUUCGUGGGCAGACGGGGUAAACAUCCAUCUCAUCAGAUGUUAGGAGUCAAACAUAAGGGUGUGGCCACGUAACGACACACGUGCUUUUCUCCGAACUCUCUGCUCCUUCCUGCCCUUCCUCUUCUCUAGACUUGUCCCUCUUUCCGACGAAGAACCAUGCUUGAGACGUCCUUUCCUAUAUUCCCAUCGAAAACUUUCACUGUGUAAGUCCAAUUGACUUCUGUUCUUUUAUUCUUUUACUUGUUUCAGUCAUUUGACUGCGGCCAUGCUGGAGCACCGCCUUUAGUCGAGCAAAUCGACCCCAGGACUUAUUCUUUGUAAGCCUAGUACUUAUUCUAUCGGUCACUUUUGCCGAACCGCUAAGUUACGGGGACGUAAACAUUCCAGCAUCGGUUGUCAAACGAUGUUAGGGGGACAAACAUAUACACACAUACAUAUAUAUACAUAUAUACAACGGGCUUUCAGUUUCCGUCUACUAAAUCCACACACAAGGCCUUGGUCGGCCCGAGGCUAUAGUAGAAGACACUUGCCCAAGGUGCCACGCAGUGUGAAUGAACCCGGAACCAUGUGGUUCGUAAGCAAGCUACUUACCACACAGCCACUCCUGCGCCUCGUUGUUUAUCUUUUUUUUUUCUUGAAUUUGACGAUGGAUACAGGAAAGAAUAUAUGAAAAAUGUAAUUCUUAAGACCAACUCACAUAUUCAUAGCGUGUGGUGGCGUGUAUACAUCUUCGACAAAAACAAUUAUUGUGAUGCUCAAUUUAAUAAAUGAUAUUAAACAUAACAGGCGCAGGAGUGGGCGUAUGGUAAGAAGCCUGCUUCCCAACCACAUGGUUCCGGGUUCAGUCCCACUGCGUGGCACAUUUGGCAAGUGUCUUCAACUACAGCUUUGGGCCGACCAAAGGCUCCUGAGUGGAUUUGGUAGACAGAAACUGAAAGAAGACCGUCGUAUAUAUAUAUGUGUGCGUUUUUUGUGUGUGUAUGUGUGUGUAUUUGUGUGUCUGUGUUUGCACCCUCACCAUUACUUGACAACCGAUGUUGGUGGGUUUACGUCCCCGCAUCUUAGCGGUUCGGCAAAAGAAUCAGAUAGACUAAGUACUAAGCUUACAAAGAUUAAGUCCUGGGGUCGAUUUGUUUGUCUAAAGGUGGUGCUCCAGCAUGGCCGCAGUCAAAUGACUGAAGUAAGUAGAAGAAUAAGAGAAUAAUAUAUUUACGUUUCGAAUAAUUCCACCGUAGAAUUCAUUAAUGGCUGAUUUCGCAUGCGAACUCUGGAAUUAUAUUUUCUUAAUACCCUUAUCAAGUCCUGUCAUUACCCACAACUCCCUUGUCUGGUUGUUCGUUCAUGUGUUGCCACGACAAGUGUUUCUGUCCAGUCACGCUCAUUGAUUUUGCCACACUCCCUGAAUCUUGCUAAAGUACUCCUCAAGGUUAACUCUGGUUCAUCUAUUGUGAUUUUUAUGUCUGUUUUCAUUAGGUUCAUUGUUAAGUGUCGGGUCAAGCGUACAGUAAUGUUGUUGCGGUUGGGGUGUUUACUUGAGCGUUUCCAUGGUGAUGUCUGUACUCUUCAUCAUUAUUCGAAUUUCGAUCUUGUUUCUAGUUUGGUUGUAAUGUUGUUUUCUUUAUGUAUGUUAUGUAUGUAUGUAUGGAGCUGGUUCAACCCACCCCGAGUGAAUGCCGGCGCCAGUUCAAGUACAUGUUUACGGAGUUAUUGGCUACAUUUUUCUUCUGAAACAAGUAAAAGAAUAAAAAGUAAAACAGGAGAAAACAGAAAAUGAGUUAAUUAAUGAAAAGCAUUUGUUAAUUUCCUGGGAACAGAAAUACGAGUAAAGCAGCUCCAGUAAUGAAACUGCACAUUAACGAUGCUGUGUGAUAAUGGAAGGCAGCCAUAUUGCCCUAUGACGAAGAGGACGUGUUUAAACCAUCUCCGAUACGCAUAAAAAGAGAAACAUUACAGGGCGACACAUUAUUUCCUCCUCUCUGCUGAUCUCAUAAACAAAUCGGCUGAAUUAAAACCCCAAUAGUUAUGAAUGUGACGGACAAAUUAUAAAUUAUAUCAUUAUACGUAUGGCUUAAUACUGCUUACAAGAGACAAUACCGAAGUAACUAUUAAUUGGACAUGAACUCAAUCAAUUACGUAUGGAUGAGCUCAGGAUAAGAGAAAUGCGUCAAAGAUGCAAGAGGAAGAAAAUUAAUAAAACUGAUAACAUUAAAUUAAUCCAGUUCUUAAAAUCAGAAAAUUAUAACUAAUUACGGCUUUCAUUCGCAAUUGAGGAUAAACUGGUAUCAACAUGCAUCAUAUUUUUCGCUAAAUAUUUCUGGGGUGCCUAUGCUGUUGCGAGUAGUCAGAGAGACGAAAAGCCUCUUUCACCGUCACAUCCUUUACUCAAAGGAACAUUCUAGAUGUGACAGCUGGGAUGGGACAAGUUUAAAAGUUAAUCUUAAAGAUCUUCCUAAAAAUCCUAAUCGGAUUCCAGAGAUGAAAUACGAAGUGCCAGUAGCUUUGCAGUUUGCUGAAGAUAUUAAUCGCAUAUAUCAUAAAAAGAAUGAGAAUGAUUCCGGCCAUUACUUCACUGAUGCUUUAUUAUUAUUGAGUGAGAGAGCAGUGCAUGCCAUCAAAGUGACACUGGGGUAAAAUAUACGAAGCCCAGUAUACCCAUCAUGACUACCCAUCUGAUAAGGGUACACUAGCCACAUGCAUCACAACCAUAUGUGUGCCAUAUGGUGAUCUCAUAUCAAAAUAAACAGCACAUGACCUUGCAGGUGGGGACCAGUUAUAAUUUUCUUCUGGUCGAGUAGCUCACCCCGCUCAAAAGGUCCCUGAAUAAGGAUGUUGAACGAAACACCCAUGUUUCCAGAGGUGAAUUAUUCAAACCCCAAAGAAUCCAUCUCAACACAUGGCUAUGAUGCUCCCCCACUACUUCUGCUCGUGAUCAGAGAUGCACAUAUCAUCAGCCUCCAAGAGACAUGCUCAACUGGUUAAGGUCAAACAACUGACAAGUAAAUCUGUGGUAUUGAGCAGAAUAUUUGCUGUAGCCCAUCUUUUAUACCAAGACAAAACAAUGUACAUGAUAACACUUCCAAUCAGCUAAGAUCAGAAGCCACGAGAGCCACUGCCUGGUACUACAUCAGGGCAAUUAUUAUCAUUAUUAUUAUUAUUAUUAUUAUUAUUAUUAUUAUUAUUAUUAUUAUUAUUAUUAUCAUUGUUGUUGUUGUUGUUGUUGUUGUUGUUGUUGUUGUUAUUUGACAUCGAAAACGCGAAAGAUAAAGGUGAUUUUGAUCUCUGAACCUAAGAAGAAAUAUCACAAGACAUUUGUUCGGCGUUCUGACUAUUCUGCCAUUUCACUACCAUAUAAGCUAUCCAUGCGAACGAUUAGGAGUAGAGGAAACUGAUAAGAUAUGACAUACAGAAAAGGAACUCUAUAGCAGAGCCAGACUAAUAUUAAAUAUUGAACUCAAUGUUAGAAAUAAAAAUUAUAGGAGUAAACACCCUACAAUUUCACUUAGAGAUUACUGUUUCAACAUAAACUAGACUAAGUAAAUUGUGUACCUAAACAGAAAACUAGAAAAUUACUUAUACAGAUUUGAGAUCACUAGUCCAGUUCUUCUUGUGUUUAGCGUAGAUAAAAUUUGAAUGACAGGCUUUGAUACAAAUAGAAAAUUACUACGUAGUGACAAUAGUAGGACUAGAAAAACACUUAGAAGGAUGCAAAAAUGGAAAAUGCUAAGAGUAAUAAAGGAACAUGGAGAAAGCAAAAACGAUCUUUUCUUUGUAAAUAGGGAAGUGUUUAGAAGUUAACCACUGUGAAGAAAGAAUAUCCAAAUAAAGACAAACCAGCAGAAAGCUUUAAAAGGCAAAAGGAAAAUAGCAUUCCAAAAUAUGGCAAAACGCUACGAGACAUUUUUCUCUUGAAUGGUGAGUAGAGAAAGUAAGUCAGAGUGAAAGGCAACAACAGAUCAAAAGCUAUGAGUUGAAAGCAGAAGAGGGAGGUCUGAUUUAGCUUCAUAACACACACACGCGCACACACACGCACGCAUACGCGCGCAGACACAGAAUUAUUUGAACAAAAUGAAACAAGAGACCAACAACAACUACAGUACAUGCAAUCAGUGCAAUGAAACAGCUGACCAUAUCUUUUGCUUCUGUCCUUGCAAAACCAGAGUGUAUCUAUGGACAUGAUUGAGAGGACGUGCAUGCCGAUACUCAGACUUGAAAACGCAUUGAAAGCUAGAUGUGAUCAUGCACGAAACAUGAAACAAUUUACAACGUUCUGUCCACAAUAGUACGGGACGUAGCUUUUCAGACUUACGCGUAAACCAAGGCAGAAUGAAUCUCCUUUUCGAUUCCUUCUGGUUAUGGCGAUCAUAUAUCUUUACUACCCACAAGGGGCUGAACAAAGAUGGGACAAACAAGGACAGACAAAGGGAUUAAAUCGAUUACAUCGACCCCAGUGCGUAACUAGUGCUUAAUUUAUCGACCCCGAAAGGAUGAAAAGCAAAAUCGACCUCGGCGGAAUUUGAACUCAGAACGUAGCGGUAGACGAAAUACCUAUUUCUUUAUUACCCACAAGGGGCUAAACACAGAGGGGACAAACAAGGACAGACAUAGGUAUUAAGUCGAUUACAUCGACCCCAGUGCGUAACUGGUACUUAAUUUAUCGACCCCGAAAGGAUGAAAGGCAAAGUCGACCUCGGCGGAAUUUGAACUCACAAUGUAACAGCAGACGAAAUACCGCUAAGCAUUUCACCCGGCGUGCUAACGCUUCUGCCAGCUCGCCGCCUUGGUUAUGGCGAUCUUGAAAUUAAAAUAAGCAGACUGUCUGUGCGGUAUGAAAAUGAAAACAGUAUUAUUAAUAAAUGGAGCAGCUGAUACGAUAAAGAAGAUAAACGGUAACCUAGAAAGUACACCAGGACAAAGAAUUCUGCACAAGGGUUAAGAAUAACCCUGCUAGACACUGGUCAUAUCUUUCCUACACAGGUCACUGGCAAUUCAAUAAUACUACUUAUAUAAUGGCCUUUCUACACGUCUCAUACAACGCUUAUUGCACAUAUACUCUUCACAAUCGUCAUCCGACCAACACAAAACAUACGGCAUCUACUCUACGCCAUCAUACUCAAUAAAACAACCCAUGCAUACAGUUCUAUAAUCAAUAUCCGAUGAGAUGACACGCACCUUAUACACUAAUGACGACUCAAACAACUAAUAACUUACAAAAAGUAACAACAAAAUCAGGGAGCACCAAAUCGAAUGAUAAUAAAAUAUAUAAGGCGAUGAACUGGCAGAAUUCUUAGCAGGCUGGGCGAAAUGCUUAGCGAUAUUUCGUCUGUCUUUACGUUCUGAGUUCAAAUUCCGCCGAGGUCGAUUUUGCCUUUCAUUCUUUCAGGGUCGAUAGAUUAAGUACCAGUUGUGUACUGGGGUCGAUCUAAGUGACAGGCCCCCUCGCCCCAAAAUGUCAGGCCUUGUGUUUAGAGUAGAAAAGGAUAAUAAUAUAUAUACGAGCCAUUCUAUAAUCAAAACACUAACUCUUACACACAACUAAAUCCACUCACAAGGCUUUGGUUGACCCGAGGUUACUGAAGACACUAGUCUAAGGUGUCAUGCAGUGGGACUGAACCUGGAACCAUCUAGUAGGGAAGCAAACGUCUUACCACGCAACCACGCCUACACAAUUAUUUUGAUGGAAACAGUUUUUAAUGUUUUUUAAUGUUUUUUUUUUCAAUUUGUUAAAGAGUGGUGGAUUCGUAGAAUUGUUUGAGUGUCAAUAAAAAUGUCUUGUAGUAUUUCUCCUGGUUUUUUAAUGUUCUGAGUUCAAAUCUCUCCCAAGGCAGUUUUACCAUUCGUUCUAUGGGAUCGAUAAAAUGAAGUAGCAGUCAAGUGUUGGGGAUCAAUAUUCACCCUAUUCCCUUAAAAUUCCUGGCCUUGUGCCAAAAUUAAAAAGCAUUAUUAUAUGCUGCGAAUUGGCAGUACCGUUUAUGCCUCGUGCAAAAUGGUUAGUGAUAUUUCUUAGUUCUGAGUUCAAAUUCCACCGAGGUAGACUUUACCUUUCAUCCUUUCAGGGUCAACUAAGCACCAGUUUAGCGCUGGGAUAAAUGUAAUCAAUUGUGCUCAAAUUAGCAAGAAUAUUAGAUAAUAUGCGGUAAAAAAAAUGCACAACAGUAUUCCUUGUGGCCCUUCCCGCUCUUGGCGGCAUUUUCCUGAUUAUUUAUAUUUUGAGUUCAAAUACCUUUGAGGCUAAUUUUACCUUUUAGACUCCCGGGUUCAUAAAAUAAAGUAGCAGUCAAAGACUGGGGGCGACCCCUGUUGUCUUCUUUCAAAAUUGCUUUCGUGUGUCUAAGAACCAAUAUCAGGCCAUGGAUCAUGGCAUUGAUACUAAUUUUGUGAAAUUGUUUUAUUGAUCAAGUUUUUAAAAAAAAUUAUUCUUGUAUAUGAAAACUGCAUGAUAUAGUUUUUAAUUAACCUCCAAAAAUUGAGUGAAAACAAAAACUGUCGACUCCAUAUGGCAUCCCUCAGUUUUAAUUAAGAAUUUUAUCUGGAAAAGUCCCAGAAUAACUAUUAUCUAAAUAUUUUUUCUUUUCCUAAGAACAGUUUCUAGUCAGUGGAAUAUGUCAAAAAAAUUUCCACUUAAUAAAAAAAUCGUUCCUCUCAGAAAUUAAAAACUACGGGACAGGAGAGGAAGGAGGGAAGAAGAGGGGGAAGAGAGAGUAAGGGAGGGAAAAGAGAGGGUCAGAGAUAGAAAUACAGAAAGAGAGAGAGGAAGAGGGAAGAAAAGAGACAGAGAAUGAGAAAGAAAGACAGGGAGAGAAAAAGUGAGACAGAGGCUGAAAGUGAAGGGGAGAGGAAGAAAGAGACAGAGGGCAAGAAAGAAAGAGGGAUAAGAAGAGAGAAACAGAGAGAGAGAGAAAGGGAGAGAUGGGGAAGAGAAUGAGUGUGAGUGUCUCUGUGUGUUUUACCAGAACAGUCUUAAUGAAUUAAUGGAAUUUAUAAUUAAAGACAAAUUGGUAAAUUGUUUUUUUAGAAGUAAAAACCUUGAUAUCUAACUUACCGAUCGAACUCUUAUCUAAAGCUCAUCGAUAAUUAAUCAGUUUUGAACGUGUUUAAAUAAAUAGAGGAAAGUUUUAGAUUCACAGGCGUGGCUGUGCAGUAAGAAGUUUACAUUCCAACCACAUCGUUUCAGGUUCAGUCCCACUGCGUAGCACCAUGGACAAGAGUCUUCUACUAACGGCACGGACCGACCAAAGUCUAGUGAAACGGAAACUGAAAGGAACUGGUUGUAUAUAUAUAUGUGUGUGUGUGUGUGUGUGUGUUUAUCUCCCAACCCACCGAUUGUCAACCGGUGUUGGUGUGUUUACGUCCCUGUAAUAUUAGCGGUUUGGCAAAAAGAGAUCGAUAGAAGUACCAGGAUUAAAAAGGAAACAUAAGCCCUAGGGUCGAUUCGUUCGACUGAAAUUCAUCAAGGAGGUACCCCAGCAUGGCCGCACUCUAUAAACUGAAGCAAGUAAAAGAUAAAAGCUUGGCUGUAAUUAACCGAGAUAUUGUCAAAGCAAUUAAUAGAGUUUCAUGUGUAAUAUUGAUUGUAAAUACUAAUUAGUGUUCACGUGAUAAGUAAAUAAAUGAAUUAGUUAUCAUUUAAAUAAUGAAGAACAAUGGCUGCCUAAAUGACUUUUCCUCAAAUAGUUGACUAACCACUUCCGGUGUGCCAUGAAGUUGUUUACUCGGCCCUGUUUCAAUUUAAAUCAAUAAUAAUAAUCUACAAGGCGACGAACUGGCAGAAUGGUUAGCACACCAAGCGGACUGCUUAGAGGCGUUUCGUCCGUCUUCAUGAUCUGAGUUCAAAUUCCCACUCAAAAGGUCCCUGAUUAAGGUUGUUUAAGGAUGUUGAAUGAAACACCCAUGUUUCCAGAGGUGAAUCAUUCAAACCCCAAAGAAUCCAUCUCCACACAUGGCUAUGAUGCUCCCCCACUACUUCUACUCGUGAUCAGAGAUGCACAUAUCGUCAGCCACUAAGAGACAUGCUCAACUGGUUACGGUCAAACAACUGACAAGCAAAUCUGUGGUAUUGAGCAGAAUAUUUGCUGUAGCCCAUCUUUUAUACCAAGACAAAACAAUGUACAUGAUAACACUUCCAGUCAGUUAAGAUCAGAAGCCAUGAGAGCCGCCGCCUGGUACUGCAUCAGGGCAUUUAUUAUUAUUAUUAUUAUUAUUAUUAUUAUUAUUAUUAUUAUUAUUAUUAUUAUUAUCAUUAUUAUUAUUAUUAUUAUUAAUAUUGUUGUUGUUGUUGUUGUUCUGAAAGACUCUCGGAUAGUUCUUAAUUACCGCUUAUUCUUUACUUGAAAGCAACAACAAAUCCCCAAAGAUUUCAAGUAGUACCUUCUCCUGCGACUCAAAGAGACUAUACUCUCCUUAGAAUGCGAGCUGUACCCAACAAUGCUGUCUUCUGGAUCACCUCAAGUCUGACAGUAGCUCCAAUAUUCUUAAUAUGUUUUUGGAAACUGCUCCUAAUGCUCCAAUUACCACCGGUAUCACUAUUACUUUCCUCAUGACCCAUAACUUUCUUAUCUCGUCCCGCAGUGUAUGGUAUUUCUCAAUCUUUUCUGUUUCCUUACAUUCCUGCUAUUGCAACAUCUAUUAUCUUUACAUCUUUUUCAUCUUUAUGGAUGAUCACGAUAUCUGGUCAUCUCGCCUCUACGACUUGGUCGCACUGUAUGUUAAAAUCCUAGAAUAUUUUGUAAUGUUCGUUUUCCGUUAUUCCCUCUGGCUUAUGUUCAUACCACUGUUCGGCUUUCUCGUGGUUUGCUUUACAACACAACAGCCAGUGGACAUAUCUGGCCACAUUGUCGUAUCACCUUUUAUAUUCGCGUUGUGUGACCUUACAGCAUUCACUAACAAUAGGGCUUAUACUUUCUUCCUUCUCAGAGAACAUCCUACACUGUGGCAAGUGUAGGAUGGUAUGAUUAAAUAUUGUAAGUUUUUGGAUAAUUUUCGGGUUUUAAAAGUUGGCAUUUUUUUUUUUUGCCGACGAGGGGCUGCGUCUGCGCAGUAGAUUUUGAAAUAUUAUUUAUUUGCUAAACUAAAAUCAGAAACCAAUUGGUCCAGGAAACUAGAUAGUAAAAACUUUUUCUUUUUUCAAUUCGUUCCUGCCGGAUUUUAUCCCUAAUUUUGUGGUUAUAGAACCUAGCUGUUAUUUCUAACGUGUUGAAUCUCACGAGUGGAUUCCUUAUGUGUUUAAAUGUACACUGUAUGUAUGUAUGUAUGUAUGUAUGUAUGUAUGUAUGUAUGAAUAUAUAUAUAUAUAUAUAUAUAUAUAUAUAUAUAUAUAUAUAUAUAUAUAUAUAUAUAUAUAUAUAUAUAUAUAAGAGGUAGUCAGAAUUUUGGAUAAUUCUUUAUUAACGUUUUCGUUUGUUUAACCGAACUCUUCAAGAAAAAUUGAGCGAAAACCCUAACAAAGAAUUAUCCAAAAUUUUGACUGCCACCUUUUUCUUAAUUUACAAUGUCUGUAGUACACAUCAAACACUCUAUGCAUACACAUCAAACACCCUAUACGUACAUACAUACAUACAUACAUACAUACAUACAUACAUACAUACAUGGUGGCUGCUCCUUCGUUAUCGAGUAUGGCCAUUGCGCAAAGCUUAAUAAAUGUUGUUAUCACACAAUACCUGUGCAAGAAGAUUUUUUUUUAAGUGAGGAAAGGCUGUGCACUGAGUCAAUCCCACUCACUAAGCAACAGCAGUCAUAAUACGAAAAGAAGAACAAGUCAACAUCAUCGGUAACCACUGAGCCGCAGGUUUUAUGUCGGAGUUAUCCCAGUUUCCUGAGUUACCUUCUCCUAGAAGGAUGCCCUAACAAAGGCUAGGAGUCCUUCAAUCCCAAUGGUUUAACCGCGCGAUCGGGUAUUCAAUCCGAUUAUUUCUAUGUCCCCGCGCAUGAUACAGCCUUAAGACAUUUAUUGGAUGGCCGUUGACUCUCAAGAGUUCCCCCGCCCUUUGACGGGUUUUGUUUUUCAUCCCGCAGGGUGUCCAAUAAACACCCUCCUCACCAAGCAAGCUUGCUGGGGUUGCCGGUUUAGACGCCGACGACCCGACCAUGCAACAGGUUGUACUGGGUUAUCUGUUACCAGUAGCACUCGAAAGUGACCUGACAUAACAUACAUACAUACAUACAUACAUACAUACAUACAUACAUACAUACAUACACGCAUACAUACAUACACUCAUACAUACAUACAUACAUACAAACAUACAAACAUGCAUACAUACAUACAUGCAUACAUGCAUACAUACAUACACUCAUACAUACAUACAUACAUACAUACAUACAUGCAUACAUACAUACAUGCAUACAUACAUACAUACAUACAUACAUACAUACAUACAUACAUACAUACAUACAUACAUAGACCAGCAGAGACACCCAGUCUUGCUCAAGAUUAAAAUGGCAUAGUUUUUAAUGUUUUACUUGUUUCAGUCAUGUGAUUGUGGCCAUGCUGGAGCACCGCCGUUGGUCGAACAGAACAACCACAGGAUUUAUUCUUUGUCAGCCUAGUACUUAUUCUAUCAAUAUCUUUUGCAGAAGCGCUAAGUUAUGGGAAUGUGAACACAGCAACAUCGGUUGUCAAGCAAUGGUGGGGGUACAAACAAACACACACACACACACACACACACACACACACAACUAUACACAUAUAUGCGACAGGACUCCUUACAUGCUAAAAAGGCCAGUUAAAUCCUAAACCACGAAAAAGAGAAUUCAUGAGGCACACCAAUAAUUAUAACACCAGAACGAACAAAAUAUAAAUUAGUUAAUCCUGAACUCGGGUUUCGCUAUUCAUUUCCAAAUAAACUAAUUUGGAAUCUGUAGCUCGUCAGCUUUUCGUUCUGGUCUUAUAAAUGGCGUGCCUCAUGAAUUGUCUUCUUUGGAGUUUUAGCUUUAACUGCCCUUUUUAGCAUGUAAAAAGUCCUGUCAGUGGUCUCCUCUUUGUGUAUAAAGAUAUUUCAUACACUCUUAUAUCUUAAAAAAUAUGUUAUGUCUUAUGACUUUAAUUUAUGCAUGCUAACCACUGGUAAGAAAUUAUGUUAAUCUAUUACCCUCAUAUUUACGAUAAUAAUCAUGUGUGUGUGUGUGUGUGUGUGUGUGUAUACACAACUGAUCAUUAAAAACGAGUAAUUUAUUGAGGUUAUUCAACAAUAUUUUGCAGAACCCUCAUUUGUCAUGUACGAAAGGACAGUCCAUCCGAUAAUAUGUAUGUAUGCAAUCAUGUAUAUAUGUAUGGAUGCAUGCAUGCAUGCAUGCACGCAUGCAUGUACCUGUUUGUCUGCCUAUCUGUUUGUCUAUUUAUCUAUCUCUGAAUGCAUGUAUGUCUAUAUGUGUCCGAAUUGUUCGUUACCUGUCCAUUGUAUAUACAAGACAUUAGAAAGCAUUAACCCUUCGACAUGAAAGAGAAACAUCAGUUCAGCCAAUCCCAAAGCAUUAAACAAAACAAUAGAAACACUUCUGAAACAUUAAUCGCUAAUGUAACUGCUUCUCCAACAUCUAUUUACCAUUUGAUGAGAACCACCUACCCACAGUCCACACACACACACACACACACACAGGCGCGCGCGCGUGUGUUGUAGGUUCUCAACGCGAUAUUAAGAUCUAUACAAGAUACUCUGUAACCAAGGAAAACAAUACAUGAAAUCUUCAUUGAAAAGUCAAGUGCAAUUUCUAGAAACAGCUAUGUAUUUAUUCAGAAAGGACAAAUCAUUAAAGGACAAAUCAUUAAAGUAUUUUCGCUAUCUUUCAUCAUAUCGCUUUUCCUGUUCAUUUUGAAUUUGUGCAGGAAAAUAGACCGUUUAAAUGGAUGUUAACAUUUAUUUUUAUGUUCUGUUGUCGUUUGUUAUUCGGGCGUCAUAGAUGACUGCUUUCUGUGUUUAUUGAAUGGAGAAAGUAGCUCAGGUGUGAUUUUUAUGUCGGCCUGUUUACCUGUUGACAGCAGCAAGGCAAAUGCUGCUUGUUGGACAAUGUCUUAGGGGAUUUAGAGUUGCUUGAUAGAGAAGUAAAAUCACUGGGAAACCGAUCCGCGACUGUUCUUUAUUCUUUGAAAAACCUUGGUCAAGACCGCUGACAGGGAACAGAGAUACCGCCGUCGUUGGCGGUGAACUUAAUUGCGAUUGUGACUGAAUGGAGCGAUAUGGGGUGGACUGACGAUGAUGAUGAUGAUGAUGAGGAGGAGGAGGAGGAGGAGGAGGGGGGAGGGUAAUUGCUUGACAUGUUAAAUGGAAAUAAAUAAACUUCAGUUUUCGAUAUCAUCUAGAGAAGCCGGGACCGGGUGGGACUGAAAGACAAAAGUGAUCGGAACAAAUCGAUCAAAAGUUAGUACUUAUGUCCCACAUUAUAUGCUGCGGAAACGAAUUCGAUUCGCGAUCGAACUGGGGAAAAACAUUGAAAAGGAAAGCCAAUGCAAAAUGCUUGCUUAAGUACAAAAUCGAUCUCACUAUCACCUGAAAUAAAAGUACAUUGCUGUCAUGGGCUUCAACAUACGUCAAUGUCUUUACCAAAUCAAAUACGACCGUGUCCUGAGACAUUUGUUGGUGUUUGCUUUUCAUUAUUGAUCUCUGUCUAAGGCGGCGAGCUGGCUGAAACGUUAGCACGACGGGCGAAAUGCUUAGUGGUAUUUCGUCUGCCGCUACGUUCUGAGUUCAAAUUCCGCUGAGAUCGACUUUGCCUUUCAUCCUUCGGGGUCGAUAAAUUAAGUACCAGUUGCAUACUGGGGUCGAUCUAAUCCACUAACCCCCUUCCCAGAAAUUUCGGGCCUUCUGCCUAGAGAAGAAAAGAUGAUUGAUCUCUGUCUAAAGACUGUUUUACAAAUGUAAAAAUUCUUAAUAACGCCAGUAAUUAGCACGCAAGUCAUUAUGCAAAUCAUUGUCUCCUAUUUAGGCACAGGCGUAACUGUGUGGUAAGAAGCUUGGUUCUGGGUUCAGUCCCACUGCGUGGCACCUUCGGCAAGUGUCUUCUACUAUAAACUGUAUGCUGCAUAUAAGCUUGGAAAGAGGAGUAACUCUUUGGUAAGAAGCUUGCUAUCCAACCACAUGGUUCCAGGUUCAGUCCCACUGCGUGGCACCUUGGGCAAGUGUCUUCUACUAUAGCCUCGGGCCGACCAAAGUCUUGUGAUUGGACCUGGUAGAAGGAAACCGAAAGAAGCCCGUCGUAUAUAUAUAUAUAUAUAUAUAUGUGUGUGUUUGUGUCUGUGUUUAUUCCCCCACCAUCACUUGACAACCGUUGUCGGUGUGUUUAUGUCCCCCUAACAUAGCGGUUCGACAAAUAAAUAAAUCCUGGGGUCGAUUUGUUCGACUAAAAGGCGGUGCUCCAGCUUGGCCGCAGUCAAAUGACUGAAACGAGUAAAGAUUAAAGUAUAUCUUAGAGUUAAACCUACGAAACAGAAAAAUUUCCCUUUGCGAUUGAAAACGAAUUAUAAAAAAAGUAACAAAGAAACAAUGUCUCGAGGGAAAUGGUUAGAGUUAAAAACCCGAGAGAGAAGUCACAUAAUAAUAAUAAUAAUAAUAAUAAUAAUAAUAAUAAUAAUAAUAAUAAUAAUAAUAAUAAUAAUAAUAAUAAUAAUAAUAAUAAUAAUAAUAAUAAUAAUAAUAACAACAACAACAACAACAACAAUAAUAAUAAUAAUAAUAAUAAUAAUAAUAAUAAUAAUAAUAAUAAUAAUAAUAAUAAUAAUAAUAAUAAUAAUAAUAAUAAUAAGGACUCUCAAAACGUGCUAGGAUGGUGAUGAGACGAGGAAAGCUUGCCAGGACAGAAGGCAUAUUGUUGCCAAAUGGUGGAAUGAUGAAGGCAAUUCAACCUCAAUCCAGCUAUAGAUACUUGGGAAUGUUCAAGGCAGAUGGAAUCAAACACAAUGACAUGAAAGAAAAGACAAAAGGAGAGUGCCUGUGGUGAGUGAGAAAAUUAUUGGCUUCAAAACUGAAUACCAGAAACAUAAUAUCGACAAUAAACUCGCGCACAGUUGCAGUAGUUCGGUUUGGUGCUGGAAUCCUGAAGUGGACAGUGAAGGAGCUAAAGGAAAUGGACAGGAAGUCAAGAAAGCUCUUAGCAAUGCAUGGAGCCCAUCAUCCACGUGUAGAUACUGAUCGCCAUUACAUGAAGAGAGCAAAUGGAGGAAGGGGACUGAUAAAUGUGGAAGACUGCGUGCGUAUCGAACUCGAAAGCUUAAUGAGAUACCUAGCACAAAGUAAGGAAACCUUGCUAGCGACAGCUGAGAACGAAAUAGUAUUGAGAGCAGAGGAAAAGAGAAGACAAAGGAAGAAGUACAAAAAGGACAUGAAGAAGAAUUGAGGGACUACACAAUCAAUUCCAUGUAGCCACAACAGAAAUUGCUGGAAAAAAUAGGUAGCAUUGGCUGAUGAAAGGAACCCUUAAAAAUGACCGAGAGAUUAUGGAAUGUAUGAACCUAUUUGGUAUUGCAUCGAAUGUUGAGCGAUUGCUUGGAAAAAGUAUGGCGAAGUGGAGGACGGAACUGACAGCAUAGGAAAGAAGUUUAGGGACAAUAGAGAUCAGGAGAGGCAUCUUCGAAAGGGACUGCCUGUCCCCACAGAUCUUUGUACCGUGCAUGAUACCACUAACACUGAUUCUGAGGAAAGCAAAGGCUGGGUAUUUAUUCAAAAGUCGCCAACAAAAAGUCAACCAUUUGUUAUUCAUGGAUGACCUCAAACUUUAUGGUAAAGAUGAAUCCCAAGUCAGUUCCCUCGGUGAUACGGUGUAUACUUUCAGUGCUGAUAUCAGAAUGGAGUUUGGACAGAGAAAGUGUGGUGUGUUAGUCUUGAAGAGAGGCAAAAUCAAAUGUAUGGAUAUCGACGCGGUAGGUUAUGAAGCAAAUAGAAGAAACGGGCUAUAAGUACUUCAGGAUGUUGGAAAUGGAUAAAUUGAUGGAGAAAGAAAUGACAGAACAAUUUAAUGUGGAGUACUUGCGCAGACUAAUUAUUUUCGCUUUGUAAGAAUUGUCUAGCUUCGAAAAAUGCUCAAUUUAGUUUAAUUUAUUUAUCUGAGAUUAUGCCGUGCUGAUGAUUUCAAAUAAAGAUGAAAUGGUACUAAAGGUGGUCACCUAAAAAUGAAUAUUUUAAGAUUUUUACGAGAACAAAAAGAAUUAAAUGUGUAUAUUCCAUGCACAUUCAACUUUACUCCUGAAUUUAAAAUUCAAAUUACCUAUCCUGCCAUAAUUUAAUCUAGAAAAUAUUGUCUCCCAUGAAAUAGCAGAUCGCCAAGGCUGCUCCACGUUGUGUUGAUUUUAGUGCAAUUUUCCUGCAACCUCUUUUUGGUUAAGAGACUACGUGGAGGAUUUCUCAGUGCAGAUGCAGAAAUAGUAGCUAGAAUAUUGACAGGUUAUGUAUAAACCAGUCUAUUUGAGAAUUAACUUUUCCCCUCGUCAUCAUAUCUUAAAACUGAGAAGUAAUAUCCCAAAAGUCGGAGUAAAACUGGACUGGCUUUUGUCUACAGCUGAUAAGAAACCAACAAAAUAACAACUUCACUAACAGUGCUUCUUCCGAUCGUCCAGCAAUAACAUUAUAUACAGUUUAUUUACGUUUUAGCACAUUUUCUUUUCUUCUCUUUAUAAUUUUCGUCUAUAACUACAAACCAGAUGUGUCUGUGCCUCUCCAACAAUAGGGAGUAUUCCCCAUAUUUCAUUCCAUAAUGACUGCCUCUGAUGAGCGCAGGAUUACAUAAUCGGACUGUUACUUAACACUCCGUUGAACCCCCAGUGCGAAACUGGUUGGUAUAUAUAUUAAUAUAUACAUCGUAGCUCUUAGCUCCGGCAUUUGAAACUCUGAGUAUUAUUAUAACAACUUAUUGAUUAUCCUAAACUAUAUAUAUAUAUAUAUAUAUAUAUAUAUAUAUAUAUAUAUAUAUAUAUAUAUAUAUAUAUAUAUAUAUUGAAAUUUACAGAAAAACAAAAGAUGAAAACAGAUGUAUGAACAACAAGAAGGUGUAUUAGUUUGACGCUCGGAAAUGGGAGAAAGUCUUUUACGUUUCGAACCUACGCUCUUCAACAGAAAGGAACACGAGGAAAUAAACAGGAAGAGAAUAAAAAAACUUUGGGAAUUAGCGGUCAAUCAUGGCGACUGGCUGGACAAAGGUAGUUCGACAGUCAUAUAUAUAUAUAUAUAUAUAUAUAUAUAUAUAUAUACAUGCAUAUUUACAUAUAUAAAUAUAUACACACACACACAUAUAUAUUUAAUCCUCUAUUACCCACAAGGGGCUAAACAUAGAGGGGACAAACAAGGAUAGACAAAGAGAUUAAGUCGAUUACAUCGAUCCCAGUGCAUAAAUGGUACUUAUUUAAUCGACCCCGAAAGGAUGAAAGGCAAAGUUGACCUCGGCGGAAUUUGAACUCAGAACUUAGCGACAGACGAAAUACCUAUUUCUGUUUCUUUACUGCACACAAGGGGCUACACACAGAGAGUACAAACAAGGACAGACAAACAGAUUAAGUUGAUUAUAUCGAGCCCUGUGCGUAACUGAUACUUAUUUAAUCGACCCCGAAAGGAUGAAAGGCUAAGUCGACGUCGGCGGAAUUUGAACCCAGAACGUAACGGCAGACGAAAUAUCGCUAAGCAUUUCGCCCGGCGUGCUAACGUUUCUACCAGCUCGCCGCCUUCACACACACACACACACACACACACACACACAUAUAUAUAUAUAUAUAUAUAUAUAUAUAUAUAUAUAUAUAUAUAUAUAUAUAUAUAUACAUACAUACAUACAUAUAUAUAUAUAUAUAUAUAUAUAUAUAUAUAUAUAUACAUGCACACCGAUACGCCCAUACACACAUCUUUCUCUUUCUCUCUCUCUCUCUCUUUGCUUGUAGCUACAUUGAUGUUUAUAUCAAAUGGAUCUCAUAAAUCGAUUAAUAAAUCAACAUUGUAUUCGAUGAAUUAAUCCGAAAAUUGAUUUGCAACUUCAAAAUAAGACUGACUACCGAGAAAGCUUCAACACACAGAUGUACUGUUUCAAGUAGUGUUGCGCACAAUACAAGCACAAUUACACUUUCAAUCAAUUUUACUGGAACACUUCCCAUUCAGACAUUUUCCAGAGAGUACGUGGCUAAGAUGCUCGCUUCAUAACCAUGAAAUUACAGGUUCGAUCCCGCUGUGUAGAAAACUUAGCAGAUUGUCUUCUAAUUUAACGCUUAGUUGACCCACAAUUUAUCGACUGAAAUUUGGUACACGAGAACUGUGCAGAAAUCCAGCGUGAGUGGCUGUGUGUUACGUAGCUUGCUGACCAAACACAUGGUUCUGGGUUCAGUCCCACCGCGUGGCAUCUUGGGCAAGUGUCUUCUACCAUAACCUCGGGCCGCCCAAACCCUUGUGAGUGGAUUUGGUAGACGGAAACUGUAAGAAGCCCGUCGUAUAUAUAUAUAUAUAUAUAUAUAUAUAUAUAUAUAUAUAUAUAUAUAUGUAUUUAUGUGUGUGUGUGUGUGUGUGUGUGUGUGCGCGUGUGUGUGUGUGUGUAUGUCUGUCUGUCCCCCCACCAUUACUUGACAACCGAUGCUGGUGUGUUUACGUUCCCGUAACUUAACGGUUCGGCAAAAGAGACCGAUAGAAUAAGUACUAGGCUUACAAAGAAUAAGUCCCGGGGUCGAUUUGCACGACUAAAGGCUAUGCUCCGGCAUGGCUGCAGUCAAAUGACUGAAAGUGUAUAUAUAUAUAUAUAUAUAUAUAUAUAUAUAUAUAUAUAUAUAUAUAUAUAUAUAUAUAUAUACUGUUACAUGUUUCGGUCAUUUGACUGUAGCCAUGCUGGAACACCACUUUUGGUCGAAAAAACGACCCUAGGACUUAUUCCUUGUAAGUCUAGUACUUAUUCUAUCAGUAUCUUUUGCCGAACCGUAAAGUUUCAGGGAUAUAAACACAGCAACAAUGGUUGUCAAGUGAUAGUAGUGGCAGAGGGGGACACACAGACACACACAAAAAAAUUUAUACAUAUAUAUACACACCACGGGCUUCUUUCAGUUUCCGGAACCAAAUCCACUAACAAGGCUUUGGUUGGUCCGAGGCUAUAGUAGAAGAUGCCCAAGGCGACAUGCAGUGGGACUGAACCCGGAGACAUGUGGCUGGGAAGCCAGCCUCUUAUAUAUAUAUAUAUAUAUAUAUAUAUAUAUAUAUAUAACCGUGAUCACCGUGACCGACCAGGCUAUCAGAUGUUGCUACACAUCGCUGGUCACAAUGCACUUCGCAUUGUUUUAGCCUUCAAAUGACGCCCCCCCCCCGCUGGCUAAGCGAGCAGGCCAACAGAAGAAAGAGUGAGAGAAAGUUGUGGUGAAAGAGUACAGCAGGAAUCGCGACCACCCCCUGCCGGAGCUUCGUGGAGCUUUGGGUGUUUUCGCUCAAUAAACACUCACAACGCCCGGUCUGGGAAUCGAAACCGCGAUCCUACGACCGCAAGUCCGCUGCCCUAACCACUGGGCCAUUGCGCCACCACACACACACACACACACACACACACACACACGCACAUAUAUAUAUAUAUAUAUAUAUAUAGGAUCUUUUCGGUUUGAACGGCAGUUAUUCUAGCGGUGUCAUAUGAAAUUGUCACCCAUAAUUAUGACCCUAGUAUCGAUCUUUGUCGGACCAUUCUGUUCAUGCGGAUGAUAUAACUAGAAUUAGGCGGCGAGCUGGUAGAAACGUUACCACACCGGGCGAAAUGCUUAGCGGUAUUUCGUCUGCCGUUACGUUCUGAGUUCAAAUUCCGCCGAGGUCGACUUUGCCUUUCAUCCUUUCGGGGUCGAUAAAUUAAGAACCAGUUACGCACUGGGGUCGAUACAAUCGACUUAAUCCGUUUGUCUGUCCUUGUUUGUCCCUUCUGUGUUUAGCCCCUUGUGGGUAGUAAAGAAAUAGAUAUAACUAGAAUUAAAUUUGCAGGUGCUAAGAUACAAUACGACGCUCUGUAUAAUAUUAUUCUAAGACGAGUCGAAAAUAUGAGGGGUGACUAGUUUAAACCCCAUAGAUUAAUUAUUUUGGGGGAAGAAUUUAUAAAUUGAUAGAUAUUUCUGUCUACAGGCAAUUGACAUCAGAUAUCUUAAUAAGUAAGCUUUUUUUUUUUGUUGCCACGGGGAACGUGGUUCGCCUCCUUCCUGCAUAAACUGGAAUUUUUAGUGUGUGUAUUAUAUGGUUUCCAUUAUGAUAGACCAAUCUAGACUGAAUUCUUUAUUGUGAAAGUUUAAUUUAUUGAUAUGAGUUGCCAGUGUAGUUGGAUGUUUUGGUUUCGUGAUUGACAAGAAAUUGUUUCUGUACCAACUCUAUUUUCAACGCUAUACUACGCAAAAUUUCGAAGUGACAAUUUACAGAAUGUUUGCGAUUUUAGACAUUAGAGAGACACUUCAUCAGAGUUACUUCAAAAGUGUGAUGUCACAUUGUGCGUCUUCCAGACUUUUUUUUUUUUUAAUUUUAUUUUUGCUUAUAUCGGGAGGAACACACUUUACGGUGUAAUCAUCGUAAAACUCGGAUUUUCUAUACCUGAGGAAUUCUUGCUUUCGCCUGGAGCCCGACUGUGUUGAUAGCCCAGUAUUCGGGUCCAAUGCUUCUCUGGAAAUGCCCUAACUUUACACCUUAUCAGGACCUAAGACUUUUGCUUUACACUGAAAUUAUACUUUACACACACACACACAUAUAAAAUACUUUUUCUAUUCCUGAGCCUGAGCGUUAUACUAAUACAUCUGUUUGUUUUGUACACCACCUGUCUUCGUCUUUUGUCUUUUUCGUAAACUCUCCCUAUAUAUAUAUAUAUAUAUAUAUAUAUAUAUUCGGCAAUAAGAAAAUGGAGGGGAUCAAGAGGUGGUAUUCAUCAACUUUUAGACAUUAUAUUAUGUCUAUUUAUUUAUUUAUUUUUAAAACAAAAAACAUUAUAACAAUAUACAUAUAUAUAUAGCAUAAUAUGCUUUACAUAUACAAUAUAUAAAAAUACCAGUAAUUAUUAAAAUAUAUAACGUAGAUCACAAAAGAUAGAAUAAUAUCUAACAGCUGUAAGCUUACGUCCUCGUAAUCUAGCGGUUCCACAAAAAGAGACCGAUAAAAUAAGUACCAGGUCUAUUUGUUCGACUAAAUCUUCAAUGUGGUGCCCCAACAUGGCCGCUAUCUAAUAACUUUAACAGGUAAAAGAAGGUAUUGAAGAUCUUUGUCUUAUCAAAAUUAGUAGCAAUUCAAUUUACUGUUUUCUACAUUCCAGAUACCUCUUUCAAGAAUGGUAAAUGCCUGAAGAGAAUAUGAUGUGCCACACUCCUCUCACUUGACCGAAUUUAAUGAAAUAUUUCUCACCAAAGAAGAUUAUGUUUAUGGUCGAAAACGAAAACACUCACCACAAUUACGAAAUACACAAUCCAACUUAAAUGGACGCAAGUUCUCGCCAUAGUUCUAAAUGUAAUGGAUACAGAGAAACGACGAGAAUUUUAAUAAAUAGCACAACUAUUGGAAAGCAAACGUGUGAAUCCAACAAGAUUUCUCUUCUAAUAUUUACCAUUUUCUUAUAAUGUUCUCAAGUAACGGAUGAU